rnacentral:rRNA from 1 species
GAAAUCCCGUGUGAAUCUGGCAGGACCAUCUGCUAAGGCUAAAUACUACCUAGCGACCGAUAGUGAACCAGUACCGUGAGGGAAAGGUGAAAAGCACCCCGGGAGGGGAGUGAAAUAGUACCUGAAACCGUGUGCUUACAAAUAGUCGGAGCCCGUUAAAAGGGUGACGGCGUGCCUUUUGUAGAAUGAACCGGCGAGUUACGGUAGCGUGCGAGGUUAAGUUGAAGAGACGGAGCCGCAGCGAAAGCGAGUCUGAAUAGGGCGAUAGUACGCUGCCGUAGACCCGAAACCGUGUGAUCUAGCCAUGUCCAGGGUGAAGGUAGGGUAACACCUACUGGAGGCCCGAACCCACGCACGUUGAAAAGUGCGGGGAUGAGGUGUGGCUAGCGGUGAAAUUCCAAUCGAACUCGGAGAUAGCUGGUUCUCCCCGAAAUAGCUUUAGGGCUAGCCUCGGAAUUUAGAGUCUUGGAGGUAGAGCACUGAUUGGACUAGGGGCCCUCAUCGGGUUACCGAAUUCAGUCAAACUCCGAAUGCCAAUGACUUAUGUCCGGGAGUCAGACGGUGAGUGCUAAGAUCCAUCGUCAAAAGGGAAACAGCCCAGACCAUCAGCUAAGGUCCCAAAGUAUACGUUAAGUGGGAAACGAUGUGGAGUUGCCCAGACAACCAGGAUGUUGGCUUAGAAGCAGCCACCAUUUAAAGAGUGCGUAAUAGCUCACUGGUCGAGUGACUCUGCGCGGAAAAUGUAACGGGGCUAAACGUAUCACCGAAGCUAUGGCAGUCCUUACGGACUGGGUAGGGGAGCGUUCCAAGCAGCAGUGAAGCCGUACUGGAAAGAGCGGUGGAGCGCUUGGAAGUGAGAAUGCCGGUGUAAGUAGCGAAAAGACAAGUGAGAAUCUUGUCCACCGAAAGCCUAAGGUUUCCUGGGGAAGGCUCGUCCUCCCAGGGUUAGUCGGGACCUAAGCUGAGGCCGAAAGGCGUAGGCGAUGGACAACAGGUUGAUAUUCCUGUACCACCUCUGUUCCGCUUGAGCAAUGGCGUGACGCAGGAGGAUAGGGUGAGCGGCCUAUUGGAUGGCCGUCCAAGCAGUAAGUGUGGUGUGUAGGCAAAUCCGCACACCGUGAAGCAUGAGCUGUGAUGGCGAGGGAAA